rnacentral:tRNA from 1 species
GGGCCGUUAGCUCAGUUGGUUAGAGCAGAGGACUCAUAAUCCUUUGGUCGCUGGUUCAAGUCCAGCACGGCCCA